GGGAGGAGUGCGUGUUUUCGAGCCCUUCAAGCUCCCAGAGUGCAAACACCAUGAGAUAGGGAUGUGAAACUGAAGGAAAGAAGGCCCUGACCACUCUCAUCAUUUACUCAAAUAAUAACACUUAUCGGCGAUAGGAACGACAAGUUGACGCAGGGACAGCUUUUGGGAGUUGGUCCAAACUUAAUGCAUUCAUGGGAUCACCAAUUUUUGGCGAUGGUUGAGAUUGGAUCGUUUCUUGGUGGCUGCUAAUGAAUCAUGUAAGGAUGGUGCAGAAUUCAUCAGAGGAAAAAGACCGAACUACGGAGUUUCCCCAUUGUUAGAGCUCUUGGUGCCCGGACAAGCCCUCUAUCUCGAUUCUCCCUUCGCAGCUCAGCUCCACCGACCAGAAGGCGAUGGCUGACGAAGAGCUCGAUGUCCAUGGCUCGUCAGGUUCCGCUGGCUCCACUAACAACCGUCUACGGGCG